UUUGUCCUACGGGAGGCAGCAGUGGGGAAUAUUGCACAAUGGGGGAAACCCUGAUGCAGCGACGCCGCGUGGGUGACGAAGUAUUUCGGUAUGUAAAGCCCUAUCAGCAGGGAAGAAAAUGACGGUACCUGACUAAGAAGCCCCGGCUAACUACGUGCCAGCAGCCGCGGUAAUACGUAGGGGGCAAGCGUUAUCCGGAUUUACUGGGUGUAAAGGGAGCGUAGGCGGCAAGGUAAGCCAGAAGUGAAAGCCCGCGGCUCAACUGCGGGACUGCUUUUGGAACUAUCUAGCUAGAUGGAAGGAGG
rnacentral:rRNA from 1 species